UCUAUGGCUAAAACAGAGUUAACCAGAACAUUCAGUUUGGAAAAACAUUAUAAUCGCUGAUAUUUUUGGUUACUCAACAUUUUGUUUUAUUUUGCAUUAGAAUGAAAGGUUAAUCAUUCACUACUUGAUGAGAUGCUGCCUGGCAUAAUAGUGUGGGCUGGAUAAAAAGCAACUUGCCUUGUUUGUAUUUUGCUGUGAAGUAGCCUGGUGGCUCAGGGAAAUUACUUAACCUCUUGGAGGUUCAGAAUGCUCAACUGGAUUAAGAUAUCAAAUUGGAGACUUUAUAAGACUCUGUAGUUCUAAGUGCCUUCCAUGUGCUUCCAAGUCAUUUACCAGGUACUACAGGUGAAGCUAGAGACAUUGGCCCUGAGUUAUCUUCAAGAAGGUCAACUGUGAACAUCUCAAUCUCUUCCUGAAAACUGUCAAUCAUUUCCCAACACCUACUGAACAAAAUUCUGUGGAUACCAUCAAAAGCUUCCUACUAAUAAGGAUAAAGGAAAAGAAAAAAAGGAAUUGUCUCUGCCCCCAGGCCUUGGACUCUGAGACAGUUAACAAGAGGCUCACGGAGAGGCUGGCUGACCCACAGCUACUGCCCGGAGACUGGGUAGUAGGAAGGCCAAUAGAGGGAGAUAAAUAAAGUGCCAUCUAAUUAAGAAACACAGCAAUGGCUCAUCCUAGAGUUGAGAAGGAAAGAGAGGCUGCUUCUACCAGGUUCUCUGUCCUGCAACAUAAGGUUUUCAUUAAUGUCAGACUCCGCAGUGAAGAUUUUCAGGUUCCUCUGGCCCCCCUUUUUUAAACUUACGGAUGAGCCCAUCAGCACUGAGCAAACUUUUCCAGAAUUUGAGGACAUUCCUUCACUUCUUUCAGACUCAUCAUUUGCUCACAGGGGGGAACAACUUGCCUUGUCUCAGAUGAGACUUUGGACUUGAACUUUUGAGUUAAUGCCGGAAUGAGUUAAGACUUUGGAGGUCUGUUGGGAAGGUAUGAUUAUGUUUUGAAAUGUGAGAAGAACAUGAGAUCUUGGUGGGGGGGGGGGCGUCCAGGGACAGAAUGAUAUGGUUUGACUCUGUGUUCCCACCCAAAUCUCAUAUUAAAUUUUAAUUCCCAAUGUUAGGGGAGGAACCUGGUGUGAGUUGAUUGGAUCAUGGGGGUGUAUUUCUCCCUUGCUGUUCUCCUGAUAAUUAGUGAGUUGUCAUAAAAUCUAGUUGUUGUCUGAAAGUGUGUAGUGCUUCCCCUUUCACUUCCUCUCCCCUGUCACUAUAUGAAGAUGUGUUUGGUUCCCCUUUGCCUUCUGCCAUGAUUGUAAGUUUUCUGAGGGCUCCCGAGUCAUGCCUCCUGUACAACCUGUGGAACUGUGAACCAAUUAAACCUCUUUUCUUUAUAAACUUUUCAGUCUCAGGUAAUAUUUUAUAGAAAUGUGAGAAUAAACUAAUAUGGGGAAUUCUGAGAAUAUUAUAUCUAUGUAAUUCCUUAAUAUUAUGAAGCAUUUAAUUAAUUUAAGAGACAUUGUAAUCUAAUUUAUUAAUAUCCUUCAGGAGAAGGAAAAUGCUUCACACUCACAAUGAGAAGUAAAGCUUUUCUUAAUUUCACACAAACCUACAGAGAGCUUGCAGUUUCAGUUCUGUAAACUAAGUCAUGGGUCAAGAACAGAUAGAAAUACAAACAUUCACUUAUCCAGAUCUCAAAGGAAUGUGCUUUGUUCCAGGAAGCACAACAUACUUUCUUAGUUACUUGAGCUCACAAAUGGUCAAACAAACAAACUGAAAAGACUGACAGAAUUAUCUCUCAUUUCUCACCCAAGAGAGUAUAUCCCAUCGUUCCAGUAAAGAUCACCAAAUGAUCACACUAUGCAGCCAGAGUCCCAUCACUGCAGUCACCAGUGGCAAAUGACUCUUGGCCAUGCUUAAAUCAGAACCAGGGCUAAAUCUGUCCAAGGGCCAAAAUAAAAAAGAGAAACAUGAUUAGAAGAGUGAGCAAGUGAAAGUUUGAGAGAGAGAGGAAAGACAAAGGUUUAUUACCACUUGAGAUCCAUUGUAGGAGUCAAAAAUCACUGAUCGGAGCUGCAGCAGCCCAGGUGUGCUUCCAAUGCCUCAGAAUUUGAUGAAAACUGGCAGGUUAAUCCACUUGACAAUCUCAGCAAAGCUUCAAAAACCAACAAUUAUUUCAAUUCCCCAAGAUUUAAAAACAUGCAAAUAUAGAAGCAACAUGUAUCCAAAAUUUACUGAUUCAUCAAUAAGGAAAUAAGAUGGUAAAGCUAUUUAAAAGAGCAUUUUGAUCAAAUAAACAAUCUAAUGCAACUUAAAGAACUAGAAAAGCAAGAGAAAACAGAACCAAAAAUUAGUAGAAGAAAAAAAUAAUAAAGAUCAGAGCAGAAAUAAGUGAAACAGAAAUGGAAAAACAAUACAAAACAUCAAUGAAACAAAAAAGUUUUUCAGAGUCUAACAAAAUUGACAAAUCUUUAGCCAGACUAAAAGAAAAAGAGAAAAUAUUCAAAUA
ensembl:lncRNA